rnacentral:rRNA from 1 species
GUGGGGAAUCUUGCGCAAUGGGCGAAAGCCUGACGCAGCCAUGCCGCGUGGAUGAUGAAGGUCUUAGGAUUGUAAAAUCCUUUCACCGGUGAAGAUAAUGACUGUAGCCGGAGAAGAAGCCCCGGCUAACUUCGUGCCAGCAGCCGCGGUAAUACGAAGGGGGCUAGCGUUGCUCGGAUUUACUGGGCGUACAGGGCGCGCAGGCGGACAUUUAAGUCAGGGGUGAAAUCCCGGGGCUCAACCUCGGAACUGCCUUUGAUACUGGGUGUCUUGAGUAUGAGAGAGGUGUGUGGAACUCCGAGUGUAGAGGUGAAAUUCGUAGAUAUUCGGAAGAACACCAGUGGCGAAGGCGACACACUGGCUCAUUACUGACGCUGAGGCGCGAAAGCGUGGGGAGCAAACAGGAUUAGAAACCCCGGUAGUCC